UGUUAUUCAUUGUGAUGGUUCUUUGAAAGAGCACCAGUGUGACGGUACCAUAGACUUCAACCAAACUAAGGCAUACGAUGCGAAAGGCGAUAAAGACAUGACUCAAUAUCUUUGUAAUCACUGCUGUCAGCUGAGCUUUGUUUGAUGGUGGUUCAGGUAAACAGCAGAAGAAGAGGAGAAAAGAUAGUCCUCGUUCCACCACAGAGCAAAAAAAAAGAGGAAGAUAAUGACGAGGUGAUGAUGAGGUUUCUCUCUGUGCUCGUAGUUUCCUCCUCAGGCUGCACACAGCUGAAAUCUUCUGUUUCCUGUGCACUCUUAAAGUACUGGUUUUCUCCUCAGGGGUUUUAAGGUAAUAAAUAAGUCAGCUGCUGUCACGCUCUCAUGGAUUGGUUAAUGUUAGCAGUAACUUUGUGUUUUUCAUGCUCUCAUGUCUGAACCCGUCAUGUGCAGGUGAUCUACACCGUGCUGAGACACAACAGGACUCGUGUGCAGUGGUAGAUCCUCUUGCGGCAUGCCAUCCACCUGGACGAUGUGGCCAAGAAGGAGAACAGCUCCACCCACCAAUUCGUCCACAGCUUCCCGUUGUCAGAGCCAGCCGGCUGGCUCAGCAGAUACAUCUACAUCCCGACUGUAGAGUAGUACUAGGAGUGCCUCCUGAAGCCCUGGUUUUACCGCCUCCUCUCCGUCGUCCUCACUCUGUUCAGCGUGGCUGUGGUUUGGUCCAAGUGCACCUUCUUCAGCCCGUCCUCUCGCUGAUUGUCAUCCAGUUGGCUGAGAGAGGCUACAACUACCAGUACAUCGAGGCUGUCCUGUCGUCUCACUCCUCCCCUGUUUGAUCCACAUGGACUCGGCCAUCUCCCACCACAACAAGCUGCAGACUGCUCACACCUCUCAGGACAACAACCCCAAACACACAGCCAAAGUCAUUAGGAACUAUCUUCAGUGUAAAGAAGAACAAGAAGUACUGGAAGUGAUGGUACGGCCCCCACAGAGCUCUGAUCUUAACAUCAUCGAAUGUGUCUGGGAUUACAUGAAGAGACAGAAGGGGUUGAGGAAGCCUGUAUCCACAGAAAAUCUGUGGUUAGUUCUCCAAGAUCUUUGGAACAACCGACCAGCUGAGUUCCUUCAAAAUGUGACGUGAUUUAGAUUUCUCUUUUGUUCAUUCACUGCAUUUUGUUGAUUGAUGAAACCUUUGCACAGUACUGUAUGUAAUUAUGUUUGUGAUUCUGUGUUGUAAUCAAUGUUCUUUUCAGUUUAAGGACCCGCUGCCUUAAUCUUCUGGGCUUCCAGCAGUUUAUGGAAGACAGUGAAAUGACCUCUGACCUGAUGGACGAGGAAAGGAGCUGAACCGCCAGGGUGAGACUGUCACCAUCAUCUGAAUUCUGUUUAACAAGAAAGUUAUAAUAAAAUAUAAUAUUUGUACAGAGAAAAGGAAGAGGCGGAGGGUGAAUACCUCUUUGUUUCUUCUGUUUAGAUUUCAGAGAAAACUAAUCAGUGUAUGAUAUAACAAUAGAAGUCACUCACACACAUCAAAGUCCUUUUACAUAUCUUAUUUUAAUAACAUAAAAUAUAUAUUUUCAUUGUUUAUUAAGUGCACAGACUGCAGUUUACAGCAGGUUUCCUCAGAUAUAAUAUAUGAUUCCAAAAUAAGAAAGUCAUCUGCUGGGAGAAGAAACAACAGUGAAACAGGAAGUACAAAGAAGCUGCUCAUCACUGGAUAUUCUGCCUAAGAUUGAAGAUUGAACAUCUGCCUCCCAGCAGGUCAGUAAAACCGAAACAGCUCUUCAGAAUCGGCGACAACAUCUCCAGCACCAUCAGACUGAGAACAGGAGCUCCUCAAGGCAGUGUUCUCAUCCCACUGUUGUUCGCUGUCCUGACACUGCACUGCUCUACACAGCUCCAACCACAUCAUCAGGUUCGCUCAUCAGCAACAACGACGAGUCGGCGUACAGAGAUGAGGUUCAGCAGCUGGCGUUCUGGUGCAGCGAGAACAACCUGUCCCUGAACCUGUCCCUGCUACAGGACAUCUUCACCAAGCUCUGCAUCAGCAAGGCCUCCUGCAUCAUGCUUGACCCCUCACACGCACUCUUUUCUCUCCUCCCAUCUGGCCGACGCUAUCGCAGCAUCGGGGCCCAAUCCUCCAGGCUGCGAAAUAGCUUUUUCCCACAAGCCAUCAGACUCUUGAACUCACUACCGGCUCUCCCACUCCCCCCCACCACACACACCCACACAAACCGUUACCUAACUCUAUUGCACUCCACAUACCACUGCCUUUGUAAUGCAGAUGCUGCUCUAUGGAGGAGAAAAGACAGACAGCUAAAUCCACCGGCCCGAUGACAAAUUCUCACGUCUCGGGACUUUACUACAGGAACUUCCUGGCUGACGUCAGUCUUUCAGCGUGUCUCUUCUCCCCUCGGUGAAUGUCGACUCCAGGGCUCCGGCUCAGAGGACCAAUUAAUGAUAGGUUCGUAGCUUAAACCUAUUCGCUGGAACGUUCAAGACAAUUCAACUACACAGCAAAAGCAUUGAACACCAAGUAGGCAAAGUUCUUUGUGUCACUCAUAUAUGAGGGAGAGAACCACGACAAGCGCCGUUCCUUCGCUUGACCCCAGUCGCUCUCGUCCAC